UACGUAGGGUGCGAGCGUUGUCCGGAAUUACUGGGCGUAAAGAGCUCGUAGGCGGUGUGUCGCGUCGGCCGUGAAAACCUGCAGCUUAACUGUGGCUUGCGGUCGAUACGGGGCAUCACUGGAGUUCGGCAGGGGAGACUGGAAUUCCUGGUGUAGCGGUGAAAUGCGCAGAUAUCAGGAGGAACACCGGUGGGCGAAAGGCGGGUCUCUGGGCCGA
rnacentral:rRNA from 1 species